GACGAACGCUGGCGGCGUGCUUAACACAUGCAAGUCGAACGCUGAACCCGCUUCGGUGGGGGAUGAGUGGCGAACGGGUGAGUAACACGUGGGCAACCUGCCCCCGGCUCUGGGAUAACUCCAAGAAAUUGGGGCUAAUACCGGAUGUGACCGCUGGCCGCAUGGUCUGGUGGUGGAACGGGUUUCCGGCUGGGGAUGGGCCCGCGGCCUAUCAGCUUGUUGGUGGGGUAGUGGCCUACCAAGGCGACGACGGGUAGCCGGCCUGAGAGGGUGACCGGCCACACUGGGACUGAGACACGGCCCAGACUCCUACGGGAGGCAGCAGUGGGGAAUAUUGCGCAAUGGGCGGAAGCCUGACGCAGCGACGCCGCGUGGGGGAUGACGGCCUUCGGGUUGUAAACCUCUUUCAGCAGGGACGAAGCGCAAGUGACGGUACCUGCAGAAGAAGCACCGGCCAACUACGUG
rnacentral:rRNA from 1 species